rnacentral:lncRNA from 1 species
CCGGGUGGGUCUAAGGCUGAUUGAUCCGCCGUGCGCACGCCAGCGCGUUCCUCUGUGGCAGGAGAGGGGGCCUGCGUGUGACGGAGCGUGCGUGGGAGGACGCGCGUGUGUGUGCGCCCUGAUCACGGUGGUCUGUGGGUGGGGCGGAUCGUGCGCGCGCGCCCGACCUGUGCCCCCCCAAGCCAGCCUUGCCUUACUGAUACCAGUACCUGCCUGCUGCUACCAUCCAGUCAACAUGUGGCAUCUUCCAGGCCACUGUGAUGAGUCAGGGAUGAGCAUCUGACUCUGGUUGGUCCAAUCAGCUUGUCCAGGGACUUUGGCUGGGAAGAUUGGAAAGGAGGCCAGCUUUUUGGGCUGGGAUUGCUAAGAGAUGUGAUGAUGAAGUGUGUGGCCUACCUGGCAUCUGGCCCCAGCUUCAGCUCCGUUUACUAUCUUGCUCCCCACGCUCACUAGCCUGCAUUGAGGCCUCCUCUGUGCCCCCCAACCCCUGAGUUUCUCAUCCCCAGAGAACCCAGCAUACACAGAAUUGAAGGAUUUUCUUACUCAUCUUCCUGUGCUCACCCUGAGGACUGGGCCUUUGUCAUCAGCUAAUCACUGUCCCCUCAAGCACUCACAGUGGAAAAUAGAGUGCUAUGCAGCCCUGCAGCUUGCCAUCUGGAACAGUUCACAGGCAAGGCCUCCCACACUGAACCCUGCUCCAGCCAAAUAGUGCCAGCAACACAGAGCUACUUGUUACAUCAGCUCAGACCAAGCCACAUCCACAGGAGCAGUUGGUGAUUCCACAGAACCACAAGAGACUUGACCUCCUGGAAAUGAAUUAACCAAGAUUAAUGAAAAAGAUUAAGGUCAUGUGCCCUGUAAAAGUGUCCCUCACUGGAUAAACUGUGACAAGAUGUGAACAGGACACUGCUGCUGACCCCCUGGUGACAGCUAGCCAGUGGUUGAGAGACCGCAAGAUGAUUCCUCGUCUUUCACUUCCCUCCGUCCCAGUCCAGUAAGGAUCCUGCUGUCUAUUCUGCGAGGACAUGUUGAAUGCAGGGACAGCCAUUUAGAAGACUGUCCUCGAGGGUGGCAGCAGCCUCUCAGGACAGGGAAAGCCAAGGUGACCACUAAGCCCGUCUGGGGUGGAGGGUGGCAGGCGGGGGUGGAGAGGAUUCGAGGCCACCUGAAGGAACCUGUGCUCGGAGACACUUACUCAUUGUGCGGGUCUGACACCUCCCAGCUCAUCCUGUCCCCAUCUUCCCCUUGCGUCACGUCCCCACCCAGCAGGAGGAGAUCUGAGGCUUUGCGCGACGCUGGCCCCGCGGAGUGUGGGGGGCUUUUCCUCUCAACCACUAGUGCCCCACAAGCGUGGGUGAACAGUCCUCCCUGGCUACUGUGAGACGCUGGGCAGGCCACUUCGCUUCUCUGGGCCUCGGUUUUCCUGCUUGUCAAAUGGGGCUGAUGCCGGCGUGGGCUUCUUCGGGCGGUCGCGAGGGUUGACCCCUGGAGUCAGCAAGCCAGCCGCGAACACGCUCCCAGGUGGAGGUCAGGGCUGGGG